AGGCAUAAGUAUUCUCCAAAAGAAAACUAAAGAAAGAUAGAAAAUUAGAGCAAGAUAGAAUUGGGGAAAGGUACAUGCAUGCGCAGAGGCAUAAUAGCUUUCAGUCAUUGGACUGGCUUUUCUCUCACUAGCAUCUCUUUGGGUCGUCCUGUCCUGGCAAAAGACGCGAGGCCGGCGAGGGGGGCAGGGCGCCCUGGUUUUUAAUUGAGCACACGCCAAAACACCCCCGUCCGACCGGGCGGCCACGACAGUUUCUUGCGGCUUUCUUUCGAUCCCGCUCGGAUGCUGCUGUCUCCCGCGGAAAUCCGCUCCGCCGCGCGCGCGCGCGGGUUCCUGUCAUUUAGCACACACAAACUUAGAUUAAGCGAGGUGCUUUUAUGUAGUAGUACUGUAGUAGUAAGUAUUUUUUUCCCCGGUGAUCUGUCGCAGUCAGACCUUCUUCGUUUGAUCCUGGAGAGGGGAUUGAGUGAGGGGGGACUCGCUUAAAUGUAGCGAACAGGAGCACAGACAGGACCUUGCGUGAUGGUUGGGUACGUGUGCAGUACACACUUCAGCUCACCGCCCUGGGACCGAGAGAUACUGGGUAUUCAGGCUAUCCGCAACCGUUACCUCUAAAUAUUUCCCCCUAUAUCACUUUUUCCCCCUAUUUUCCCCCCUAUUUUUUCAUCUCCCGCAGCGGUUCCCCCUAAAUACUCCCCUAUACCCCACUACCACUAUAAAAUAUCAUUUUCUAUAUCAACUAUCAAUUUUUUAUCUACUAACAAUUACUCGUGGACCCACAGCACAGUGUUUAGGGUGAUGAACAGUGACACGCUAGAUCUGAGGGGAGAGAGAAGGGGACCGACACGUAGGGGGCGCUGUAGGGGGCACCGCUGCGGCUAUAGGGUGCCCCCUACGCGCCGCAUGCAAGGGGAGGGAGCGGUGCAGCGUGCACCGCUGCGGCUAGUCUCAGAUCAUCAAUCAUAGACGAACGACACCUGUACACCGGCUACUGUAGCGACCGCUGUCGCGUUGUCAGUUUACUGUCGGUACAGCAACACCGGUGUCUAGAGGGCGGCUGAUGCAGAUUUGUCAGUAGCCCGUCAGUGUCAUGAUUAGUAAGUCAUAACCUACAAAAAAAAAAUGGGAUGCAUAGAUACGCAUGUCAAGGCGCAUACAUCUUUCUGACAGGCCGUUUCUCCGAUAAAACGGGCGCUAUGAUCAGGCCUUCUUUAUUUUAGUUUUUUCGAAGCUGCAAUUGACUGGGCACCCGCACCUCACCGCAAUUUCUCUGCUCGCGUAUGGAAGUUUGCAAUCCUAUUUUCAUUAAAAAAUUGCGAAGUUUGUGGCAUGACCGCACUGAGGAUAUAUGGUUUAUUAGUAGUAUAAGGAUGUGUUUGGUUUGACUUUUGGCUUUGAUUUUUGCCCCCUAAAAGCCAGAAGUCAAAUUAAAAUGCUGAAUCUGGAAAGCAGUUUUUUCUAAAAGCCGACUUUCUUAUAGUGCAAAACUAAAAUCACCUCUGGACCUGCUUUUAGCAGCUUUUAGGUGGAACUGUGAAAAUAUAUAUGGAGGAAUUUUUAGCGACUUUUAGUGGUUUUCACCAAACGAUUUUUAGCUUUUUAGCAGUUCACAGCACACAGUAGCUUUUUUCACAGCUCACAGCCCACAACAGCUUUUUUUUACAGCCACAUCCCAACCAAACAGACCCUAAAUCAUGACAUCGAGAUAGUGAGAUACCACGUCAUAAAUAACAGGGACGUCAACGUGGUAGCCUUUUACACUACGUGAUCCUGAUGUGUUUUCAUAUGCGUCAAGCUUAAUGAGGCCCGUUUCCCCUGGCGUGGCGUUAGUCGUUAGAUGUCUGAAACCAUUUGUAAUUUAUAUAAUUUUUUGGUCAACCGGAACAAUUCGUACGUACGCUCAUUUCUAGACAAACGAACAAGGCCCAAUCUGAGGUUGGUAGCUGAUUGUAUACUCGUAAAUAUGUAUAUACGCAAAAACAAUUGAGCAUAUAUUCCAAUCAAUGGCCGAAUGGCGCCGUGCACUGCCAUUCGUGGAUGCCGCCGGGCGAGGCUGAUGGAUGGGGACGCAACAACGGUUCUUCACGUACGCCGUCGGCUGCUGCCAUCAUCAUGUUGUUGGCGUGCGGGGUGCUGCCCUGUUCAGGCAUCCUGCGUAUAUAGAUGCUUUUUACAUUGCUUGCUGGUUGUGUGUCGUCGGCAGCUUAUCUAAUGCCAAAAUCCAUGUUAGUAUACGCAAGGCUAGCUAGAUGACAAACAUGAGGCGGCCGUAUGGCCUAUCUCAAGCCCCACUGACGUGUAUAAGUAGAAACAGAAAAACUGGAUUGCUUUCGACCGACGUGUCCUGCCUGCCUAGGGUGAUAUAGAAUUUAAGAUAACUAUAUAUAUAUAUUAAAAAGUAUGUAUAGACAAUACAAAUAGACAAUUCAUACAAUUAGUUGCCUGUUAUACUGUCUAUGCGAUUUUUAAUUCAUUUGACAGUCAUUAAGAGAUCCAAUAUACAAGUUGCAUUGAACACGGUCGAAGUAGCCAUACAUUAUUGGUUAUCUUAACGUCUCUUAACGUUGGAACAUGGGACAAAGCCGUCACCACACGUCCACACGAGAGAACAACCGACCGACCGAUGACUCUCUCUCCUUAAUUAGCGUACACGUUGGAUUUUUCUGUUUAGUUAUUGCUUAUGUGCCCUCGGUCUGAACUGAAGAACGUUACUUCCACGCGGGUUACAACAAAAAGAACUUUUAGAUAGUGUUUGGUUUCGAAGUUAGAUGGGACCGAACCAACUCACUCUUAAUUUGUUGUUGUUUGAAUUGAUUCGAGUAUCUUAAAAAGGAAAAAAUAUUUUUAAAUGAUGAAUCUGACUCUUCAAGAAAAAAAAAUAGACGGAACAGCUCCCUGGCAUAGAGCCGGACCAUCCCCGAAAUCAAACACUAGACCACGUGUCUCCGCCUUCUUCCCUGCCCCCGCACAGCCACCUCGCACGAAGUCCUUGCUGCUAGACUGGAGACGAUGCUAGCCGUAGCCGGGACCGCCCUCAACGACGCCUCCGACGCGCGCUCAUGCUGCUUUGAAGACGGGGCAACCAGCGACUGGUGAUGAUUACUAGAAUGAUCUACAAUGAGCUUCAACAAUGUUUUCCUUCAGGCCCUUAAUCCGAUCACCUAAAUCUGGAACUGACGGGACCUAGCCCCCCGGCACGGCCCAACUCAAACCCCCAUCAGAAUCUAGUCCACUGGAUUCUGCCGUGCAACACACUGGUGCCUAGACUUUGCUGCGCAACUCCCUCCCUCCCUCCCUAUCCAUCCACGGCCCACGGCCCACCGAUUUGGGGGAAAAAAACAAGUACGGUACCCGCACCGAUUAAACCGUGCUUCUUGCUUCCCGCUCCCCUCCCCUGCUUGGCUUGACUGCUUCAUCACACCCUGAAAUUUCGAAGGGUUGGCGCUGGUAAAUCUGCAAUCAAACAAUGGGACGUGCUAGUGCUGAAUAGAUAGGACUGUUAGCUAGCUUUGCCUCUAGAUCGACAAGCAAGCAACUAAAACAAAUUAAAGGACCUCGUUACGUUGUGCAGAUCACACACAUGCCGAUUCUUCUAUUGCUGCUUUGCCUUAGAAUACGAUUGUCAGUCAGAAAAGGGGAAUCCUACCACCGUAGUCCGUAGCAGUGUGUGUGUCCUCAACCUGCAACACGUGUUGAAAUAUAAAGCGUCUCUGAAACAGGUGACAAUGCAGUGCCGUCAGAAUAGAUAUAGAAAUCAAGUUUCCAUUUGACUCUCUGUUCUGAUCCAUUUAACUCAAUUACUCAUGUUACUAGCUACGGCCUACGGCAGAAUAGAUAUAGAAAGCGCGUGAUUACCUAUCAUGAACUAGUCAUGUAGGGGCGUGAUAACUGGUAUCAUGUUGGACUAUAGAUGUUACUAGCCACCUAUACGAUGCCAUAAUCUUCCAGUUCCACAUAGCUGGCUGGUUGCUAGGAUUUGCAGGAUUGCUUUUAGCUUAAGCUCGGACAAGCAGAACAAACUAAUGGCGAUGGUUUCCAUCAGUGGCCUCUUUCUUUCCAACCUUUUUCUCAAUCGCCGUCCCACUGACAAAGUGACAAAGACACACACCACACGAUGCCACACAUACAUACUUUUGUUUAAGAAACUUUGCUGGAUUUUUUAUUCUACGAUACAUGUCACUAUUCUAGGCUUCUAGCAAUCAAAAACUAGUAUAUGCCAGAAGCAAAUUCUGACCGAACUGAACUUUGCGCCAGAAGGAAAAAAAAAGGUAUGUUUCUACACGAAGACUCCGGUUAGGUAGAAUAGAAAGAAAGUGUAUCGCAAGUGUGAAGGAAGUUGAAUGAGGAAGUAGAACAAUACCUGACCUUGAGCUUAGAAAAACACAUCGAUUCACACAUGCUGAGAAAGGAAUCAAAAUAUUAUUGUCGUCAACUUGGAUAAAGCUGGAACGACGACAUGAGACGACGACCUAAUCACCAGCAGGCAUCACUCGCAACAACACUGAUUACCACCAUCAUGUUCCUUCUGUUUCAAGGCAGUAUAUAACAACCAGUAGCAUCCUAGUUAAAUCGGCGUACCCCAUGCACUACAGAAAAGUUUAAAACCAUGAAGCAUGCUUGGUAAUCAGUUAUCGCACAUCUCACUAGUGAGAGGGACAUAAUUACCUUAUCUCCACUGAAGAACGGACCAGAACUUCCAGAAGGCUCUCUUAAUUGGGUUGGGUUCUGGUGCUAACUGACCGAAAAAAUCGUGCUUUAUUGGUGACACUUACCUUCGUUGAUGGAUCUAUUACUACUAACUAACUAGCUAACUAGCAUUAUUAUCGGACAACUCUGAUGGCUGAGCACCACCGAUGUUAAAACUCAGCGAUCAGCAGUCGCUGCUGGGUGACGCCUCAGCUAAUAAUGCUGAAGCUUGUCAGAGUGAAAGCAACGUGAACAUGAAGCUUGUCAAAGUUUUGCUGUUCUUUCAUUCAACAGCGUUCUUAGCUAGCUAGUACCUGGAUAGUGGAUAUACAGUCACCGACAAACAGUUUUGUCUUUUUUUACAUUGGAAAAGCAGGUAUUCCCAUGUGUUUAACAAAUUAGAAAUCUAUGGCCAACAUUUCUUCCUUUACGACUAGAAUAACCUGCCUCGAUCGCAAUCUUUUUAAGGUUGUACACUUGUACUACUCACUCUUAGCGAAUGGUGGUUCAGGCUGAGGUUGCUCUGUAACAAGCAUUCAAGAAAAAGUUUCGAUGGCCUUCUAUUUUAUUUCUGGUAGAGCUUAUGGUUGGAGAGAAACAACAGAAUCUUCAAGGGUCAACAGAGAACGACAGAACAAGUGGUGCAGAUGGUGAAAGAUCUUGUGGGUAGAGGUCUGACCUGCUAGUAGUGUCUGGGGGCCUGGCCAGAGGGUUAGAUUUUAUUCAGUGGUGCUAGAUAGGUGUUGCUUGUCUAGUGUUUUUGGUGUUGACGUCAUUUUUUGUGCCAGUUUUUGUACAGUGUUUACUCCUUUUAUCUAAUAUAUUGGAAGGCAAUUCUUUUGUCUUUCCCUUUCAAAAAAUGUACUACUCCAUUUAUCUGAGCAUUCAAAGAGAAAAGUGGAUCCAGCGUUGACAAAUUCCUAAGCUUCGGUCGAGAAUAGAUUUUUCGAUGCAAGUCCAGCACCGCAAACAAUGUCUACUUUCCCGAUCGGGGGCACGGUAUGUGAAGCGAAGCAACUGCAUGCGUUUUGGAUUCUCUGAGUGGUCCGUUUCCAGCAAUAAGCAAAGGAGUAUGUGCCCAACUAAACAGCUAAAAAAAAGGUCGAAUAAUCUCAACGAACUGGAUGGAGCAUUGAACUCCAAGCUUGUCGAAACUUACUUUGCGUUGUGCUAAUGGUGGUGCUAGUACUAGUACCAUCCUAGCUUUGUAACCAGCUAGUACAUACGCAUGGGGCUUGGCAAACACACAGAGCAUCAGGCAAUGAUGAAGUCGCUCGUCUCGUCUCCAUGUGUACAAGAGGUGUACAUCAUAAAGAUGAACUUCACCACUACAGAAUUAAUGUUUGUUAGGAGUGAGAGUACGAGUACAUCAAACAUAAACGCUCGCGUUCAGCGGAGGUACCUGACUACGGUAGGUGCAGCCAGCGUACCUAGCUUCUGCUGUGGUAAGAGGCAAACUCGUCAGUACAGUACCUCAAACUGAACUUCCCAGUCACUACUGUCCCGGUACAUGAGAUGAACUGCAUUGUGCUGGCACUGAUAACACUAGUGUGAUUCCGUACCAGCUCUAGUCGUUUAAACUACUGUGCCACUGGAUAAAAAAGAGCAGUGCAAUGGUCCACCUAGCUCUUCUAAGAUGCUGUCGCUUUUUACGGUCUGCAGCAGCAGCAGAACCAGCAGCCAGAUAUCAGCCCUUUGCGCACAUGCGCUAGCACAUGGUUAAAUGCUAACGGGGUCAUGUGUUUGCAGACCUAAAGCAUAUGUGACUAAGGGGCUGUUUGGUUUCUAGGGACUAAUGUUUAGUCCCUUUAUUUUAUUCCUUUUUAGUAUAUAAAUUGCUAAAUAUAGAAACUAAAAUAAAGUUUUAUUUUCUAUAUUUAGCAAUUUUGGAACUAAAAUGGAAUAAAAUGUAGAGACUAAACAUUAGUCGCUAGAAACCAAAUACCCCCUAAAGCUAUUCGCGAAAUGUUACAGACGGUUUGUGAAUUAGCUAGGAUACUAAUAAUGUGACCCACAAGGCUGAAUAAUUGAUUAAAGGCAUAAAAAAAGAUCGCAGAACAACCUCCUUAGAAGCAAAGGGGGAGGAGGUCAAGGACUGAUAUAUAGAGGGGAGGGAACAGUGUGGGGCCUCACGAAGCUUAACCUGCAAACAAUGUACGUCUUUAAGGCUGAUUUGGUGACCAGGGAUAAUGAGGAGAUCGGAGGGGAUUGAGGAGCCCCUAAAACUGAUGCUCGCUGGGUUUUGGAGCCUCGUUUAUGAGGUUCGUUUAUGAGGAGCCCCUAAACGUACUCGUAGUCGUAGCCUACAACUAAUGAGUAGGAGUCCACCUAGUUGUAUCGUCAUUUCUGUCGUCUCGCCAACGCAGAGUCGACAGUUUAAGCAACGUCAGGCUUCUGGGCCCAGCCCAACACAGCACAGCAGCUCGCGCGGGUGACCUAACUCUCCUCCCACAUUCUGACAUGGUUCCACAAUCCACGCCCCCGCAACCACCACUCAACCGCCUCCGCCACAUACCCGCCGCGCCCAUGAAAUAUGAACCCCUCUUCUCUUCCUGGGCCCCGCUUUAUCAGCAUCGCGCCGACGUGUGCGACGCCGCCUACCGCCUCACGGCACGUGCCCGCCCUAGCCCGUUAAGUAACUGCCCCGCAACAACCGUACCCACCAGCCCCACUGACGCUCGUGCCCCACGCAGUACCACUCCCGGUCCGAGCCCACCGCGUCAGUGUCACUUGAGCGCGAGCGUCGGUGCCUCGCGGUUCUCCUCUCCCCCCGCGCGUACAAAUAGGGGGAGGCGGAGAGGGAACGAGGGAUAGAGGAGAGAGGACCGACCAGAGUACCGGACACGCAGCGAGGGGGAGGAAGAAGGAAGCAAGAGGGAGGACCGAGCAGGCCUAGGCCCUAGGGUAGUCCCGUCCGGUCCCCUGCGGUGCAAGUCCGGCCGGCGGGCGGGCUGACUGCCUGGCGUCGGUAGGGGGCGACGGCGAUCUAUAUCUGUCGAUGGGCUACUGGUGGGACCGCGUCGUGCUGCCGGUGCGGCGGGCCUGGCUCGGCGUCGCGUCCCGCUUCGGGGUUCGCCAGACCGGUACGGCGCGAGGGCGAGGCUCGGCGUUCGUCGGCGGCUCCCGUACAAUCUCCCGUCUGCGCUGCGCUGCGCUGCGCUGCGCUGCGCUGACUGACCCCGUCGCUGGUUGCUGCUUGUUGCAGGGCUGUGGAGGCUGCGGCAGGAGGUGAGCACGUGCGAGUACGAGGACGUGCACGUGAUGUGGGAGAUGCUGAGCCGCACCACGGCGCCGGCGCCUAGGCGGCCCAGCCGGUUCGGGCCGCAGCCGCGGCCGUGGGGCAGCAGGUUCCGUCUCUGCCGAGGCUUCUAGUGCUGUUGCUGCGGUGCGGGGUACUAGUGAUUCCGCUUCAUUUUGGCUUCUCUCUCUCUCUCUUGUUCUUUGGUUUUCGCUGCUUGUAUGUACCGUCGUCGUCCAUCCCUCCUGGCUCUGAGAUGUACUUCCAUUCCUCCUCGUGUAUCCGUCUCCGCCCGCCUGCAGAUGAUAUACCGGGGCAUGUGAAUGAACAGAGCUGAUUUCGGUCGGGUAAUAAUCCUGUCCUUGUUGCUACCAUACCACCUACCUACUUCUCUUUUGACCCUUGACGACGAAUUCAUCUGUAAACAGAGGGGUAGAGAGUAUUAGUGUACGAUUUCAAGAUUCAGCCAGUUGGUCUUGCUUUGUGCGUCCUGUUUAUUCAGGUUAGUUUCAGGCAAAGCAAUUCCAUCUGACUAUCCGAGGGAGGAGGGCCCAUGGCAUCUCCAGUCGAAAAAAGCUCGUCAGUCACCAGGACCAGGAGGUAGAGCAAGCUCGGGGGAAAAAACGAAUAUUCGUUCAGCAGUCGCUAGAUAGGUGCGCAAGAAAGAAUUGACGUCUCGCGCUCUGACCCGCGCAGCUCUGUGCUGUAGUUUUUCGGUGGUCGCUAAAGCCGGUCGAUCGUGAUCAGUCUCGCGAACCAUCGCCCCGUGAUGGGUAAUGGCCUUGCGGGCGGCGCACUUGAGCUAGCCUCGGCUGAUACCUACGUGCCACUGAACGCUAUCAGCUGCAGCACAGCACAACCACCCCCCCCCUGGUACUCUUGUCCUCCCACCACUGCCACUGCCAGUAACUUCAGGCAUAAGUAUUCUCCAAAAGAAAACUAAAGAAAGAUAGAAAAUUAGAGCAAGAAGAAUAGAAUUGGGGAAAAGUACAUGCAUGCGCAGAGGCAUAAAAAGCUUUCAGUCAUUGGACUGACUUUUCUCCACUAGCAUCUCUUUGGGUCGUCCUGGUUUUUAAUUGACCACACGCCAAAACACCCCCGUCCGGCCGGGCGGCCACGACAGUUUCUUGCGGCUUCUUUCGAUUCCGCCCGGAUGCGCAGAGGCCCUUGUAGAUUAAGCGAGGUGCUUUUAUGUAGUAGUAGUAGUAGUAAGUAUUUUUGUCCCCGGUGAUCUGUCACAGUCGGACCUUCUUCGUUUGAUCCUGGAGAGGGGGUUGAGGUUGAGGGGGACUCGCUUUGAUGAGUCUGAAAUAUGCAGCGAACAGGACCGCGUGAUGAUUGGGUACGUGUGCAGCACACACUUCACCU
rnacentral:lncRNA from 1 species